GGUGCCAGGGUGGUGACGCAGCAUGUCUUCAAAACCCAUGCGGAUUGCC
rnacentral:tRNA from 1 species